rnacentral:rRNA from 1 species
AACGAACGCUGGCGGCAUGCCUAACACAUGCAAGUCGAACGAGACCUUCGGGUCUAUUGGCGCACGGGUGCGUAACGCGGGGGAACCUGCCCUUAGGUUCGGAAUAACUCCCCGAAAGGGGUGCUAAUACCGGAUAAUGUCUUCGGACCAAAGAUUUAUCGCCGUUGGAUGGGCCCGCGUUGGAUUAGCUAGUUGGUAGGGUAAAAGCCUACCAAGGCGACGAUCCAUAGCUGGUCUGAGAGGAUGAUCAGCCACACUGGGACUGAGACACGGCCCAGACUCCUACGGGAGGCAGCAGUGGGGAAUAUUGGACAAUGGGCGAAAGCCUGAUCCAGCAAUGCCGCGUGAGUGAUGAAGGCCUUAGGGUUGUAAAGCUCUUUUACCCGGGAUGAUAAUGACAGUACCGGGAGAAUAAGCUCCGGCUAACUCCGUG